AUUGAACGCUGGCGGCAGGCCUAACACAUGCAAGUCGAACGAGUGGCGGACGGGUGAGUAAUGUCUGGGAAACUGCCUGAUGGAGGGGGAUAACUACUGGAAACGGUAGCUAAUACCGCAUACCAUCAGAUGUGCCCAGAUGGGAUUAGCUUGUUGGUGGGGUAACGGCUAACCAAGGCGACGAUCCCUAGCUGGUCUGAGAGGAGGACCGGCCACACUGGAACGGGGACACGGUCAAGACUCCUACGGGAGGCGGCAGGGGGGAAUAUUGGACAAUGAGGGAAGGCCUGAUGCGGUCAUGCCGCGUGGAUGAAGAAGGCCUUGGGGUUGUAAAGUACUUUCAGCGGGGAGGCGUUACCCGCAGAAGAAGCACCGGCUAACUCCGUGCCAGCAGCCGCGGUAAUAC
rnacentral:rRNA from 1 species